ensembl:lncRNA
AGAAAGAGUUCCUGCCGCUCCUCCUUCCUGUGUAGUUAGACGGGCCGAUGACACGAGGGAGUCCAUCGCUGAUGCAGCAUUUCGCUGCACCCUUUGUCACCUGUCACUCAAAAAGGAAGUCAGGAGUCCAGCACAGACAGACUGUAAAGGCAACUAAGGAUGGAGGUUAGAAGGGUUCACAGGAAGCGAGGUUGAGCUGGCAGAAAGAACUGAUGAAAAAUAGUGCUUUUAGAGACGGAGCAUCGGUCCAGGAACAAGCAGUUGUCAGACAAAUUUUCAGCAAAUGCAAUCACAGAGGAUGUUUUUGUUUUUUAAAACAAAUGAGUCGCAGGAUCUAAACAAAGCAGCAAGAUGAAGUAAUACAAAAUAAUCAACUGGGUGCACACAACUACAUCUUAAAUAUAAUUGUAUGACCGUCCAGUUCGAUUGGCCAAAAAAGAGUAAACAUGACUUAAUUAUCACUUAAGUUGAUUUGUGAAUACCUUAAUCAGUGAAACAAGAAAGUGCAGCUCCAACUGGCCGUUGCCAGUAGCGCAUGCUCCUUAAGGAGACCAUUAAAUUAACAAAAUAUAAUAAAAAUCACAGAAAAAAACAAACAACAAAAGAAAAUAGCCAGUGACGCGAACUACAUUGUUCUAAUUCUUAAUUAUUUGUUUUGACAAUUUAGCCAUUUUAAAAAUGAGCACUUGAAAUGAACAAUACUCUGCAAAAGUCUUUGAGCCACCCAUUGUGUCUGCAUAUUUUGCUAGGAAGAUGGGAAAUAUGCCCAAUGAUUUAUUGAAAUGUGAAAAAAACAAAUGAAAGUAUAUAAGGUAAAAACAGAGUCAAAAACGAGCUUGAAAAUCAAUAUUUGGUGUGAGCACCUUUAUUCUUUAAUAGAGUCUGAACUCUCUUAGGCAGCUUGUCGUGUCUUUAGGUAGUCUUCAGGAAUAUUUACAGACUGUCUUACAGAUGGAUGUAGAAACUCUUCUAUUUCUUGACCUCCAAUCAGACCUGUUGUCAUCGAUUUUCAGUCCAGUUCUUGUGUCAUUUUUAUAGCUCCGUCUUUUCUCCUUGUUUCCCUUCCUUAAGAACGGCUUCUUGACAGCCAUCCUUCCACUGAGAGCAUUUCUAAUGAGUCUUCAGUGAACAGUAGAUGGAUCAUCUGAAGGUCUUGUGUUGUGGAUUUAUGAAGGACAUUAUUUUCAGACACUGUCUGCAACUUCUUCUUUAGUCCACCACUUGUACAGUUUCCUCAAACACACUGCACACCAUGCUGAGAUAUGCCAAGUUUUUAAUAGCUGUAAUAGACUUCUAGUAACAAAGUGCCCAAAAAUACAAUUUAAAAUUGGUUCUUUGCUAAGUUGUUAUGUGUAGACACAACACUGGUUCUUCCCUUGAGUUAGGAGCCUUUUUUUAUACUUCAAUGAUUCAUAGGUGGGUAUUAAGCAGAUUGAAAAAACUCCCAAUAUUCAUCUGAAAAUGGUCAGGUACGAGAACUGGGCAGAAAAAGCAUGAAAGAGAAGACCUUCAGAAAGACCUUCCUUAGAAGCAAAAUAGAAAGAAAGAGGUGGCUCAAGAGUUUUGGACAUUGCUGUAUUUUUUUUUUUAUUUCAUUUUGCCUUCCUUGCGAUGGAGUUAUUCUUUUAUUCGUCUUUUUAUAUUUUUUAUCUCCCUUUCUUCUCUUUAUUUUAUACACUUAUGUCCUCUAGUUCUUCUUCUGGCUCUCCCUUUCAUUCAGUAUCCCCCCUUCCCAGUAUCAACCCCAGCUCCCUCCCACCACCCUAUGUAAGCCAAGUGGAAUAAUCACCUGUUAUGCUCCCUGACAAAACACCAAAGCUGGUGUGAAGCGCCACCAGAGUGUGAAAUCUAUCUAUCAACCAAUCUCAUGAGCUCGCUGAGAGAGCUCUGCUUGAUACAGUUUGCCACACCAUUUAUUGAGCUUCAGUGAACUUGUAUCAUGCCAAUGGCAAAGUACACACAUUACAACACCCGUAUGGAGACACAGUCAAACAAAAUGCUUUCUAUUUGUAAUCAGCAGCACGGUAUCUUGUAUCAAAACGUAAUUGCCUUCAGAGCUAACAUUUUUACAUGUUUAUGAGUUGUUUAAUCAUGCUUUAUACUAUGGUGAUAAUAAUGCAGUGGAACAGUGUGUAUGCUGGCAUAAUUUGCCUUUCUUUAUAUCCAAAGCAAAAGAUCCAGGCAGUGAUCCAAAUGCAAAUAUGCAAACUGGUCCAAUUCCCUGUCAGAAUCUGUCUCGUAUUCAGUGCAGCAUUAUUCAAAACAGAAAAAGUAAUAAAAGUGUUUGGAAAGCUGGAAUUAGCACAGAUUUUGUAUUGUGAAUGAUGAUGAUCUCCAAUUUAGUUGGGACCAGUUUAGUAACAGGAAGACUGUUAUUUCUAUCUGGAGCAGCCAUAGAUGGUUAAAAACAUGGAUGUAGCUUCUGGGUCAGAAAAACGAAGCCAGUGUGGAAGUGCCUUAAUCUUGCAUUUUAUCUGUAGGCCACCAGAUGGCGAUAGCUGUGAUUGCAACUAUAGUUGCAACUACACGUUUAUGGGAACAGAGCAUUCUGAGUGAACACCUGUAAACACUUUUCUGCUGAGUUUAUAGGAUCAUUCACUCAAAUCGGGUCAUAAUGAAUAAGACAUUAAGACAUUUCUGUAAAUUGGCACUCUCAUUGGCUAACAGCUUGCGAUUAAA